rnacentral:rRNA from 1 species
AUUGAACGCUAGCGGGAUGCUUUACACAUGCAAGUCGAACGAGUGGCGGACGGGUGAGUAAUAUAUCGGAACGUGCCCAGUAGCGGGGGAUAACUACUCGAAAGAGUGGCUAAUACAGCAUACUGUUUUAGCGGGCGAUAUCGGAUUAGCUAGUUGGUGGGGUAAAGGCUCACCAAGGAAACGAUCCGGAGCUGGGUUGAGAGGACGACCAGCCACACUGGGACUGAGACACGGCCCAGACUCCUACGGGAGGCAGCAGUGGGGAAUUUUGGACAAUGGGGGAAACCCUGAUCCAGCCAUCCCGCGUGUAUGAGAAGGCCUUCGGGUUGUAAAGUACUUUCAGUCGGGAGGCGUUACCGACAGAAGAAGCACCGGCUAACUCCGUGCCAGCAGCCGCGGUAAUAC